GACGAAGGGGGGCUAGCGUUGUUCGGAUUCAUUGGGCGUAAAGGGUGCGUAGGCGGGUUGUCACGUCGGGGUGUGAAAAGCCCCGGGGGCUUAACCCCCGGGUCUGCAUUCGAUACGGGCUGGCUAGAGUGUGGUAGGGGGAGAUCGGAAUUCCUGGUGUAGCGGUGAAAUGCGCAGAUAUCAGGAGGAACACCGGUGGCGAAGGCGGAUCUCUGGGCCAUUACUGACGCUGAGGAGCGAAAGCGUGGGGAGCGAACAGG
rnacentral:rRNA from 1 species